rnacentral:lncRNA from 1 species
GGUUGCCUGCUUUCUAAUUCCUUCCAGAAAAUGCAAAAGGCCAAUCCAGUGUGACGUUGGGAGAUGGGGUAGCUCAGGAGGCCAGAAAUGACAUGACGCACCCUGAAGGAUGACAUCUGAUCGUUGACAAAGUGGGAGGGUCCCGGUGAGGUGUGGAAGGACAGAGCUGGACCCAACCAGCUGGGAGGUCUUGGCACACGCCCCAGAGCCAGCUGGUAGGAAGGCACAGCCACUGCCAUCCGACGGAGCUGGAAUCUGACCUUCUAACCCAAUAAGUCAUCUCAUCUGGGUUUCCCCUUGGUUUCUUGCACCAUUUGUAUUCAUCAAGGUAGCACUGAUUUCAAGGAAGAAACUUCCAUUUCUUUAUGGCUGAGCACUGUGUCAACAAAUUGGUUGCCCAAUUCAGAAAUUCCAUAGCAAUGACACUGUGGCCUUCAGGGUGGGGUGCAGCCUUCUGCCCCCUCCAGCUUGUGUCCAGAUGUGCUUUAGUCCCAAGGAAUCAGCCUCUGUGGGUGAAUUUAUAGCACUGAGGGUCAACCAAGAAAAGUCUAGAUCCCUUCAUUGCAUGAAGAAGCAAAGCUUCUCCUUUCCCAACUUUACUGCCAACCCUGUCCCAGGGUCCCCAUAGAGCUUCCCCCAACCCCCUGCUACCCUCUGGAGUAGGAAGUUUGGGCUUGGUGGGGAUACAGACAUUGCUUAGCUCAGCCUGCUUUUGGUUUUGGUUUUGGGAGUUUUGCGUGUCAUUUUUAGGGUCACAACUGCAGCAUAUGAAAGUUCCCAGGCUAGGGGUCAAAUCAGAGCUGUAGCUGCCAGCCUACACCACAGCCACAGCAACUUGGGAUCUGAGCCAUGUCUGCACCACAGCUCAUAGCAAUGCUGGAUCCCUUAACCCACUGAGCGAGGCCAGGGAUCAAACCUGUGUCCUCAUGGAUUGUAGUGGGAUUCAUUACCAUGGAGCCACAGGAACUCCCCCAUGCUUACUUUUGCCUAGCAGUCAUCAAACAAAAGUACACUAUGAAUGCUGAGUGCCUCAGAUCAGAGCAGAGGGGACAGUAACCCCAGGCUCACUGGCUUACCCCCAUCCUCAGGCCCUGGAACCCCCUGGAAUCCCCAGGACUAUUUGGAAACCGUUGAUCCAGGGCAAUUCCUUCUUAUGUGCAUAGAGAAAACCCUGGCCACAUGGAAUAUUACUCAGCCAUCAAAAAUGAAAUGAAAUUUUGCCAUUUGCAAUGAAAUGGAUGGAUCUGGAGGGUAUCAUGCUAAGUGAAAUAAAUCAGACAGAGAAGGACAAAUACUGUAUGUUAUCACUUACAAGUGGAAUCUAAAAAAUACAACAAACUAGUGACUAACAAAAGAUAAACAGACUCACCGAAGAAGAUAAUUAACUAGUGGUUACCAGGGAGGAGAGGGAAAGGGGUGUAAAACAGGGUUCUAGGAUUAAGAAACACAAACUGCUAUGUGUAAAAUAAAUAAGCUAUAAGGAUGGGUUAUAUUAACAUAUACACACUACUAUACAUGGAAUAGAUAAUCCAUAAGAACCUACUAUGUAGCACAGGGAAUAUACUCAAAUCUUGUAAUAACCUAUAAUGGAAAGAAUCUGAAAGAAAAAAAAUAUGUAUAUACACACAUACAUAUAUAUGUACAACUGAAUCAUUUUGCUAUACAUCUGAACCUAACACAUUAUAAAUCAACUAUACUUCAAUUUUUUUUGAAAAAAGAAUGUAUUGUACAGCACAGGAUAUUGCCAAUAUUUCAUAAUAACUUUAAAUGGAGUACAAUCUAUAAAAAUUUUGAAUCACUAUGUUGUACACCUGAAACUAAUAUAAUAUGGUAGGUCAACUAUACUUUAAUAAUAAUUAUAAAAUGCCCAUAGAAUUUUACAUUUAGGAAAAUAAAAGGAAGAAAGAAAAGGAAACCUCGGCCUAAAAGGGAAAGCUGUGUGUCCAAGUCACAGCAGGUCUAGGGCAAAGAUGGGUCUGAGUCCCUCCUGUGCCCCCAAGGAUACGGCCUGUCCCCAGGCUCGAGAAGGCUCCUGCUGGGGCUGGUCCCUUCCCAGGUCAACCCCUCUCCCUGGCCGAUGCUCCACACGCGUGCCAGGCUUGGUUUUUGUGGUUCUCAUUCUCAGGCCCUUGCCCCUGUGGCCCCACCACCCCAAGGCCCCCGGCCUCACCCUUGUGUCCUGGGAGGGUGGCACCCAGACUGGGACAGCCACUGUUUGCCUUGCUGAGUCUGAUGACAAGUGUGACCUUCUUUGUUUGAUGUUGCUAAGUCAAGAGAAAAAAAUAAAGAAAACCACAGGCUGCACAGUGAGGUUGCAAAAAUGACUGGGCAGCACCGUCUCCCCCACCCCCAGGGGCCGUGGGGGAUGGAGCUGGGGUCGAGCUUGGGUGAUGAGAAUGCCCAGGGCCUGAGGACAGCAUCCGUGCGACGAGGAGAUGGAAAAGUGGCAGGGGAGGGACUCUACAUCUGGGCCCCCCAAGGGCAUUUGCUGACCCCAGAAAUACGCAGACCUGGCAUGCCUGUGGCUCUUCUCUCCUCUCCACCUGUGUCCAUUCUUCUUUCUCUGCCCUCUGCUCUCUGCCUCUGCCCUUGGGCACUUGCUUCCCCGCUCCUGGCCUCUUUCACCCACUCAUUCUCCCUGUCCUUCCAUUUGCCCAUUUCCCUGGGGUCCUCCGUUCCCUCUGUGCUCUCACCACUCUCUGAGUUUCCUUUGGUCACUCGCAUGAACAGACACACACACAUGCGCACACAAACACAACCCCACUCAAGUUCACACUCACAAGCGCCACACACAGGGAAACAUGCACACACAGGCACGCACAUACGCAGACGCAAUACACACAAGCACAGGUACACAAGCCCAUGCAGCUCACCCUCACACAGGCUCACACAUCCACAGAAGCAAGCACACCCACACGCCCCCAUCCCUGCUGAGGAUAAGCUAAUAAACUCAGAAAAAGACCAGCUCCGCCCCCACAGACUUGUUGACACCUCUUGAUAUUAAGAGCGAUUAGUAACCAUGGGGCGAUUAAUCAGAUAUCUGAGGCUUGGGGCCAAUAUGCUGGGAGGUUGAAGGUGAAAUGUGUUCCAGCCACAUCACCCCCCCGCCCCGCCGCCCCGGAAAGGAGCCUCCUGUUCUGUUAUUUGACCGGGUGGUGACUCUGGCAGCCGCAGCCAGUUUGCUAAGAAUUGGACCGUCUCACAAGCCUCUUGAAGAUGGUUGUGGUUAGAGUUUGGAGGCCCAUGUUGGUUUAGAUUUCCUGAGACUGGGUUUAGAAAGGAAGCAUUAUUUUGAGGAAGGAGAUCAUAAUCAGGCUGCUUUGUUUGAUUGGCAGCUCUAGUCUUACUUAAAAGAUGCCUCAGGGAGUUCCCGUUAUGGCUCAGUAGUAACAAACCUGACUAGUAUCCAUGAGGACAAGGAUUUGAUCCCUGGCCUUGUUCAGUGGGUUAAGGAUCUGGUGUUGCCGUGAGCUGUGGUGUAGGUCGAAGACAGGGCUCGGAUCUGGCAUUGCUGUGGCUGUGGCGUAGGCCAGUGGCUACAGCUCUGAUUGGACCCCUAGCCUGGGAACCUCCAUAUGCUGCAGGUGCAGCCCUAAAAAGACAAAAAAAAAAAAAAAGAAAGAAAGGAAAAGAAAAAAAAAGAUGCCUCAGGAGAGAUACAAGCUUUGCUACUUAAGUCGAAAGCAAGAUGGAAACCUCACCAGGUCAAGGAGCAGAAGGAUUAUAAAUUCUCACCAGGGCCUUGCAAUGAAUCAACUGCUUUCCAACACAGCCAGGUAACAGUGGCCUGGGUUACCUAUUGUCACCAUGCCAAUACACCCAUAUGGGCAAUGCUACCAACUAUAACAUUUGUGCAGAAAAUGAUUUAUCAGGUAACAAACAGGAAACUUCAAAUUUUCUUUCUUUCUUUCUUUCUUUCUUUCUUUCUUUCUUUCUUUCUUUCUUUCUUUGUGUGUGUCUUUUUAGGGCUGCACUGCACCCACAACAUAUGGAAGUUUCCAGGCUAGGGCUAUAGCUGCCAGCCUAUGCCAGAGACACAGCAACGCCAGAUCCAAGUUGUGUCUGCGAACUACACCACAGCUCACAGCAACCCUGGAUCCUUAACCGACUGAACGAGGCCAGGGAUCAAACCUGGGUCCUCAUGGUACUAGUCAGAUUUAUUACUGCUGUGCCAUGAAGGGAAUUCCUAAUUUCAUUUUAAUUUAUUCAAGGAAAUACAUAAGGUAUGAUUCCCUGUUAGAUGGUAGUUUGUGGACACUUAUUGUAAAGGUAAGUAGGCUUACAGCAAUAGUGAGCAUUGUAUAUGAGCUGAAAAAUCAGGAAAGGUCAUCUGACAAGAAUAAGGCAAGUAGGGUGGAAUAUUUAAAACUGGGAUCAUUCCAAGUGUUCCCAUUGCGGCUCAUUCAGUUAAGGACCCCACAUUGUCUCCAAGGACAUGGGUUCAAUCUCUGUCCUUGCUCAGUGGGUUAAGGAUCUGGCAUUGCUGCAAGCUGUGGCAUAGAUUGCAGAUGCUGUUUGGAUCUGGUGUUGCCAGGGCUGUGGUGUAGGCCUGCAGCUGCAGCUCCGAUUUGACCCCUAGCUUGGGAACUUCCAUAUGCUGCAAGUGUGGCCCUAAAAAAAAAAAAAGUGGGAUCAUUCCAGAAACAUAUGGUAAUUUUCCAAUACUUAGUGAUCCUCAAGGUUGAUGUUAUAAUAUUGGGAAAUAAUUAAUGUGCAAAAUAAGAAAGCCUCCUAUGCAUCACAAAAAUGUUAAAAGUUUAAUGUAUUCUGUUUAAGAAAGAAUAUAUAUAUGUAUGUACAUAUAUAUUCAUAUAUAUGUAAAGGAAUAUAUGAUUAUAUGUAUGACAUAUAUAUGAGUCAUAUAUAUGAUUCAUAAAGGAUUUAAUCUUCCUAAAGAUUAAAAUGUUAAACUUGAAUGUUUAACACAAAAUGUUAAAAUUGAAACUGCCUAAAAGUUAAAAAUGUUCAUCUUACAAGAUGUUUAAAAUGAAAAAAUGUUUCAGGUCUCAAAUGAGUAAACCCUCAGGUUUUUUAGAAAAACUCAGUUAUCACCAUGACGCAUUUUGCGAGUCUCAGAUAGAUAAGACUCCUCCAUUUAUAAACAAUAAGAGAGUGUGUCUAGUAGUUGCGAAGCAUUGGUUGCUUUCAUAUCUUUUGAGGGCAUGCCAGAUGGGACUGGGGCAGUGUAUUAGUUGUCUAAUGUUGUUAUAACACAUUACAACAAACGUAAUCAUUUAACAACAGACGGACUUAUUAUCUUAUAGUUCUGUAGACCGGUGGUUCAAAAUGGGUCAUAUGAGCUCAAGUCAAGGUGAUGGCAGGACUGUGCUCUUCUUCACACUCCAGGGGAGAAAUUCUUUCCAUGCCUUUUCCAGCUUCUAGAAGCCACCCACAUUCCUUGGCUCAUGGCCCCCUUCCUCACUUUUCAAAGCCAACAACAUCAAGCUGAGUCCUUCUUACACUACAUCGAUCUGACUCACAUCUCCUCUCCAGAGCCAGGAAAGGGUCUCCAUUUUUAGGGAUUAGUGUGAUCAGGUUGGACUUGCCUGGAUAAUCCAGAAAAAACUCCCCAUCUCAAAGUCCUUAACCUUGAUCACAUUGGAAAUCCCCUAAUCAUACUGGAAAGGUACCAUGUUCACAGGUUCUAGGGAUUCAGAGGUGGACAUCCUUAGGGUGGGGGUGGGAGAUAGAGGCUAGGAAUUCUAGACUUGGAAUUAACAGACGUCAAUGGGAGCAACCUAGUGCAGGACUAGAGUGAGGCAUGGAAUUGCUCUGCAAUUUUGCCUUCUCCUCUGGUCAAGAAGAAAAGUAGGAGUUCUCCGUCUCAUUUGCCAAGUCAGACAGCAAUCGGAAGCUGUCACUCCUGAAGCAUUAUAUGAAAUCCUGGGAAGAGGAUGCUUUCUGUGCCCUGGGGGAAGCAGAUCACAGCGAGAACCCAAUGCGUGUCAGAGCAUGUCACAAACAACCAGCUUCUGAUACAAUAGCUACCUGAUUCAUCUGUUGGGUUCCUAGCAAGGUUGUAGAGUGAACUUCCUUGCAUUUCAGGAGACUUGGGCUCCAGUGUACUGACAGAAAAAGAAAAGCUGCGGGGUAAGAAGAAAUCAAAGAUGACAGAACCCCUUGAGUCCCUGGAUUGAAGCUAUGUAGAAUUUAAUGAUGGCAUUAAGCACACACCCAACUCGUAUGCACAGCAGGAUGAAACAAGGGCUGCAGCUCAGGAGGACUGUGCCCACAGCUCUCGUGCAUGGUCCAGCCACACGAUUUCGUGUCUCUGUUUGUUAGAGACACAAAGCAACAGUUUUGCAGACAGUUCAGCCAAACUGAGAAGUCCAGGGACACUCUCUAAAUUUUCUUAAUUUCCUUCUAAUAGCGCAUUGUGGUUCUAUCUUGCUUUAACUUAUUUAAUCUUGUUUUUAAAGAUCUGGUGCAGUUGUAGAGACCUUUCAGAGCCCUGACAGGAUGUAGAAUAUAUGUGGUGGCUUUUUUUUUUUUUUAAUAAGACAAAAGUUUGUUAAAUGCCCUUUGUCUUUGUUCUCACUUGGGUUCAUGAUGUACUUGUUAUCUGCCUCCCAGGGAGAAAGACGCUACGGUCCUGUUUCUUGAGCUUAGAGUUGGCAAACACGACUGACACCUGAUUGUCCAGGUAUUUAUAAAGUGCCUACUGAGUUCCUAGCAGGGUGUGCAUGUUCAGCCAUGUUGGAAUGGCUCUUUCAACUUGGCAUUGUGACAGGGUUUGAGGUCUUGUUUUGACAUAUUCAAGUUGAUGUAAUGAUAUAAUAGUAAAGGCAUGGUGAGCAAUCAGAGGGAUGGAAAGUGAGUGGGAGGAGAAAUAUGGGGGAGGAUGGACAAGAGAGAAUCAGGAGGUGACAGGGAUGGUUGAUGGCACAAAGAUGGAGGUCUAGGUGGAGGAACUGGGGGUAGAGUAUUUGUCACAGAGGAGAUAUGGAGGGGAAGGUGGUGGUGAAGGGGGUGGCAUAGAUGGUAAGUGGGGAUCAUACAUGGGAGGCAAAUCUCCACUUAUCAGGGCAGGAAGUCAGCUGAUAAAAUGAGAAAUUGUGGCAUAAGCAUUUUAGUUAAAGAUAGGGAACUUGCCACAAGAAACAAAAAUGAAGAAAUGCAGUUAGCUCUGGGGAUCAGGACUGGGCUUGCAGAGGGUUGAGCGGUGGGGGUGGGGGGGUGUCAAUCAUUAUUCACUCUAAGAGCCCUUCUACCCCAGUUGAUAUUGUGAAAGACAAUGUGUAAGUCUUUGAUGGGGAAAAUGUUGAGCAAGUUAAUGCAAUGAAGAGCCCCCUUUUCAUUUCUACGAUAUUCUACUCUUUCAGAGAGGUUUAAUUCUUUCCAAGAAAAGAUGUAUUAGCUGCAUAUACACAGUGUAGGUAUCAUAUGCCUCGUGCAUGUAUAUCAACCUUAAUUACUACUUUAUUUUUUUUCAUUUUAUUAUGAAAUAUUUCAAGUAUAUAAAAAAGUUGAGGAUGCCCUGGCUGGGGAACUUCCACGUGCUGUGAGUACAGCCAAAAAAAAAAAAAAA